AACGAACGCUGGCGGCGUGCCUAACACAUGCAAGUCGAGCGGGAAAGUCCGCAAGGAUGAGUACAGCGGCGCACGGGUGCGUAACACGUGGGUAAUCUGCCCUGAAGCUCGGGAUAACUCGCCGAAAGGCGUGCUAAUACCGGAUAAGACCACGGGAACCUCGGUUCCUGCGGGAAAAGGUGGCCUCUGUAUACAAGCUAUCACUUCAGGAUGAGCCCGCGGCCCAUCAGCUCGUUGGCGGGGUAACGGCCCACCAAGGCUACGACGGGUAGCGGGUCUGAGAGGACGAGCAGCCACACCGGAACUGAGACACGGUCCAGACUCCUACGGGAGGCAGCAGUGGGGAAUCUUGCGCAAGGGGCGAAAGCCUGACGCAGCAACGCCGCGUGUGUGAUGAAGGUCGUCGGAUCGUAAAGCACUGUCGGGAGGGACGAAUAAGGGCCGGGUGAACAAUCCGGCUUGAUGACGGUACCUCCAAAGGAAGCACCGGCUAACUCUGUGCCAGCAGCCGCCGUAACAC
rnacentral:rRNA from 1 species